CCUACGGGAGGCAGCAGUGAGGAAUAUUGGUCAAUGGCCGGAAGGCUGAACCAGCCAAGUCGCGUGAGGGACGACUGCCCUAUGGGUUGUAAACUUCUUUUAUAUGGGAAUAAAAAGUUCCACGUGUGGGAUUUUGUCUGUACCUUAUGAAUAAGCAUCGGCUAACUCCGUGCCAGCAGCCGCGGUAAUACGGAGGAUCCGAGCGUUAUCCGGAUUUCUUGGGUUUAAAGGGUGCGUAGGGGGUUUUUUAAGUUAGUGGGUAAAUUUUGGGGUUACACCUUAAAUUGCCCUUUAUACUGGCAGACUCGAGUACAGAAGAGGUGGGCGGAAUGCGUGGUGUAGCGGUGAAAUGCUUAGAUAUCACGUAGAACUCCGAUAGCGAAGGCAGCUUACCGGACUGCGACUGACGCUGAAGCACGAGAGUGUGGGUAGCGAACAGGAUUAGAUACCCGAGUAGUC
rnacentral:rRNA from 1 species